rnacentral:lncRNA from 1 species
AAGCAAAAAACUUGGAAGAGGGUGGCUAUGGUUUUUAUGUUAGAAAAAUGGAAGGGAAGGAAGUUGUAUGUUUAUGUGAUGGUGAUGAAUGAUUAUGUAAGUGAAGGUCACAAGCUUGCUACUGUUUUUGUUGUGUGGAGUUUGUGGAUUUUUACAUGGUGGUUGGGUGGUUCAAAGGAGAAAAGAGGGUUUGGGUGAGUUAGAGUUUAGGUUGAAAAGAGGGAGCUUGAAUGUGAUUUGGACAGAGGUUUUGUGGCUUUCAAGCUUGAAAAAUGAAUGGGGAUAAUGCUCUAUUUAUAAGGGAAUAAAGGGGUUGAAAGGGGUGAACCAAAAGGUCCUUUG